rnacentral:rRNA from 1 species
UACAGAGGAGCCAAGCGUUGUCCGGAUUGACUGGGCGUAAAGCGCACGCAGGCGGCACCGUGCGUGGGGUGUGAAAUCUGGCCGCUUAACGGCCAGGCGCCAUCCCAUACGGCGGAGCUGGAGUGAUGCAGAGGUCGAUGGAAUUCCCGGUGUAGCGGUGAAAUGCGUAGAGAUCGGGAAGAACACCGGUGGCGAAAGCGCUCUGCUGGACCACAACUGACACUCACAGGACGAAAGCUAGGGGAGCGAAUGGG